rnacentral:lncRNA from 1 species
CUCACACGCUGUAAGGUUUGCUCUGACGGUACACACGUUAGAGGCCAGACGCAUGGCCUGAGAAAGUGAGACUCUUAUUUUGAAACAGAGUACAACAACGACAGGAAGCCGGUGGCAAAGUAGUCAGGACCACUGCUCCCAGAAGGACAUUCACUCUGUGCUGCUUCGGCUUCUAACGACGUUAGGUUGUAUCUGAUAAUGGAUUAUCACAGCAACUCCAUGGAGUACAAUGAUGAUCAUUACCAAAGAUCCUAUGAGUUUGACCAUAGAAAGGUUGAUUUGGUCAUAAAAUGGUUGAUGUGGGCAAUCUGUAUCAUCAGCCUCCCGUUGAACGGAGCGGUCAUCUUCGCUACGUUUUCUCAGGUGCAGAGGGGCGUGACUCGGAUCUACGUCAUGAACCUUCUGGUCUCUGACCUCCUGCAGCUCUGCUCUACGGCGGCUCCAUCCACAAGCGAUUAUGGGGCUUUCAUCUCCUACGAAUUCUGCUAUUUAGGUCUGAUGGCCAGCGUUGGCUUCAGGACGUUCCUCGCUUUGGAAAGGUGUUCAGUGGUCUUGUGCCCACGAGGCUCCUGCUUCAGACAGUCUAUUAAAGUCUGUGCAGUGGUUUCCCUCUUUCUGUGGUUGGUUCCUCUUUGCAUCUUCCUCUUUGAUGUGUUUAGACAAGAUACAAUUGUCCAUCUCAUCUACCUCUUCCUUCCAUGUCCCUUCCUCAUCUCCACUCUUGUUAUAUCCCUUAGAUCUCUGUGUGUAAACAGCAGCGUUAAUCUCAGUCUAAAGCUCAGAGUCGUGGGCAGUGUGGUUCUGCUGGUGCUUGUUCACAUGUUGCUUAUUAUUCCCUCUCUGAUUGUAUGGCUGUCAGGAGGUACAGGAAGCUAUAUACUGGAUCAUGUGCCAGAUGUUAUUCUCAAGCUGGUUCCACUUGCAGACCUGUUUCUGUAUUUCUUUCUGACUAAAAGAGACACAGACAAUAACUUAGGUAACAGUGUGAACAGGUCAGUGAUGAACGAUGAGAGCAGCCACAUCAACAGCUCUGUGUAG